UAUUGUCGUCCAAAGGACUUUGGA
rnacentral:siRNA from 1 species